rnacentral:rRNA from 1 species
UACGGAGGGGGCUAGCGUUGUUCGGAAUUACUGGGCGUAAAGCGCACGUAGGCGGAUUGGUAAGUUGGGGGUGAAAUCCCGGGGCUCAACCCCGGAACUGCCUUCAAAACUCCCAGUCUGGAGGUCGAGAGAGGUGAGUGGAAUUCCGAGUGUAGAGGUGAAAUUCGUAGAUAUUCGGAGGAACACCAGUGGCGAAGGCGGCUCACUGACUCGAUACUGACGCUGAGGUGCGAAAGCGUGGGGAGCAAACAGG